AGGACGAGCGGGCGGCUGAAGGCGUACCUGCAGGAACAAACCAUCAGUCAGGAACGCAGGACGCUCUCCUCAUUCUGAACCGUUUGUGCUGCAGCAGCAACACAACGCUGACGGAACAGGAAUGAGCUCCAUGUUGUUACAAAGGGACGAUCAGCUGUUUACCUGCGUCUGACAGACUCACCUGUCCAGGAACUGCUGGUGUGACAGCUCAGAGGCGUCCAGAACGUCCAGGUUGCAGGGCCCCUCGUCCUCCAGCCUGAAGUCGGACUCGCCGUACCUGAACACAGACACGUCACGGCGUCUCCUGGUGUGCCGGUAACCAUGGCAACAGGCUGCUUGGAGGUUCCUCCGCACCAAACUUAGUGUUUUAAACCAAAAUCACUCGGCUCAGUUUAAACUAUGUCACUGUUUCUAUUUAAAAACGAAAAGAAGAUGUUUAUACAUAGUAGUAGUCUAGCCUUUAUAAUAACUAUAUACAUAUUUAUAUCUAUAUCUAUAUAUAUAGAUAUAGAUAUAUUUAUAUAUAGAUACACAGAUAUAUUUAGUAUUUUAAAAGACAGCUUCUUUUUUUGUUUUACAUUUUAAAGGUGAAAGUUUUAUUAGGUCUUUAUGUAUAUUUUAGUAACUAAGAAAACCUUUGUAAUAAGUGGAGAACAUAACUGAUAACUGUAAACAUGCAGCUGCUAGUUUACUGAUAUUUAUGGUCAGGAAAUGUAAUUAUAAAGAUUGUUAAUAAUUACAUCUUAGACAAAAUAUUAACAUAUUCUGUUCAAACUAACGGAGAAGCAGAUGAAACCUCUUGUUUCCAGAUGGACCGUGAACUACUCACCAACCCCCUCCGUCAUCCUUCAGACCAGCGAAGCGGGAAACCAGACCCAGCAGAACCCAGAACCGGACCCCCGCCGCGGUUCUGGUUUCCAUCCACAAGUGAUGCGGGAACACGGACCGAAGCAAACCCAG